rnacentral:rRNA from 1 species
UGACGGCUCGAGCAGGUGCGAAAGCAGGUCUUAGUGAUCCGGUGGUUCUGAAUGGAAGGGCCAUCGCUCAACGGAUAAAAGGUACUCCGGGGAUAACAGGCUGAUACCGCCCAAGAGUUCAUAUCGACGGCGGUGUUUGGCACCUCGAUGUCGGCUCAUCACAUCCUGGGGCUGAAGUAGGUCCCAAGGGUAUGGCUGUUCGCCAUUUAAAGUGGUACGCGAGCUGGGUUUAGAACGUCGUGAGACAGUUCGGUCCCUAUCUGCCGUGGGCGUUGGAAGAUUGAGAGGGGCUGCUCCUAGUACGAGAGGACCGGAGUGGACGCACCGCUGGUGUUCGGGUUGUGAUGCCAAUUGCAUUGCCCGGUAGCUACGUGCGGAAAAGAUAAGCGCUGAAAGCAUCUAAGCGCGAAACUUGCCUCGAGAUGAAUCUUCCCUUGGACCUUGAGUCCACUGAAGGAACGUUUAAGACUAAGACGUUGAUAGGCUGGGUGUGUAAGCGUAGCGAUACGUUGAGCUAACCAGUACUAAUGAUCCGUGAGACUUAACCUUACAACACCGAAGGUGUUUUAG